rnacentral:rRNA from 1 species
GACAGAGGAUGCAAGCGUUAUCCGGAAUGAUUGGGCGUAAAGAGCUCGUAGGCGGCUUGUCGCGUCGGCUGUGAAAACCUGGGGCUCAACCCCGGGCCUGCAGCCGAUACGGGCAGACUGGAGUACUGCAGGGGAGACUGGAAUUCCUGGUGUAGCGGUGGAAUGCGCAGAUAUCAGGAGGAACACCGGUGGCGAAGGCAAUCCCCUGGGCCUGUACUGACGCUCAUGCACGAAAGCGUGGGGAGCAAACAGG